rnacentral:rRNA from 1 species
UACGUAGGGUCCAAGCGUUAUCCGGAAUCACUGGGCGUAAAGCGUGCGUAGGUGGUCUGUUAAGUGAGAUGUUAAAUCGUGUGGCUCAACCAUAUCGUUGUGUCUCAUACUGGCAGACUAGAGGAUAGCAGAGGCAAGUGGAAUUACGAGUGUAGCGGUAAAAUGCGUAGAUAUUCGUAGGAACACCAAUGGCGAAGGCAGCUUGCUGGGCAACUCCUGACACUGAUGUACGAAAGCGUGGGGAGCGAACAGG